rnacentral:rRNA from 1 species
UAAAAAAUUUGGCGGUAUUUUUCUAUUCAGAGGAACCUGUUCUGUAAUCGAUAAUCCACGAUGGACCUUACUUAAGUUUGUAAUCAGUUUAUAUACCGUCGUUAUUAGAAUAUUUUAUAAGAAUGUUAAUUUUCAAAAUUUUUAAAAAGAAAGUAUAUCAGAUCAAGGUGUAGCUUAUAUUUAAGUAGAAAUGGGUUACAAUAAAAUUAUUUAUACGAAUUUAAAUAUGAAAUAUUUAUUGAAGGUGGAUUUGAUAGUAAAAUUAUAAAGAUUAAUAAUUUGAUUUUAGCUCUAAAAUAUGCACACAUCGCCCGUCACUCUUAUUAUUAAGGUAAGAUAAGUCGUAACAUAGUAGAUGUACUGGAAAGUGUACCUAGAAUGACAAUUUAAAGCUUAUUUAGUAAAGCAUUUCAUUUACAUUGAAAAGAUUUUUGUGCAAAUCAAUAUAAAUUGAUUAGAUUGUAUUUAUUAAUUUUUUUUUCU